UUACCUAACUAUUACCAUGGUGUUACCGAGCUGUGGUGUCAAUAGAAUUAUCAACCUAUCCAUUCAUAUUCAUCUUCUUAGCAAGCUUUAAUCCUGUUUUUCACCUCAAAGAUUUACAGCUUGACCAUUUAUUUACUGAUAAACACUACUUCACCUAAGAGACUUGAGUAUCCAGUUCUUCAUUGACCUUCAGCAUUCAGUUGUUUGUCUUCACCUUUUCAGGUUUCCUGUGUCCAGCAUCUUCAAGACAGACUAAGCUAACUUUUCAUAUUUUUUGCACAUUUAUAUUAGGUUAGG